GAUGAACGCUAGCGGCAGGCUUAACACAUGCAAGUCGAGGGGUAUAGUUCUUCGGAACUAGAGACCGGCGCACGGGUGCGUAACGCGUAUGCACUCUGCCUUUCACAGAGGGAUAGCCCAGAGAAAUUUGGAUUAAUACCUCCUAGUAUUAUAUACUGGCAUCGGUUCAUAAUUAAAGUCACUACGGUGAAAGAUGAGCAUGCGUCACAUUAGCUAGUUGGUAAGGUAACGGCUUACCAAGGCGACGAUGGGUAGGGGUCCUGAGAGGGAGAGCCCCCACACUGGUACUGAGACACGGACCAGACGCCUACGGGAGGCAGCAGUGAGGAAUAUUGGUAAAGGGACGCAAGUCUGAACCAGCCAUGCCGCGUGCAGGAUGACGGUCCUAUGGAUUGUAAACUGCUUUUGUACGAGAAGAAACACUCCAACGUGUUGGAGCUUGACGGUAUCGUAAGAAUAAGGAUCGGCUAACUCCGUGCCAGCCGCCGCUGUAAGAC
rnacentral:rRNA from 1 species